CAGGGGCAGGAGGGACACCAGGGACAGGAGAGACAGCAGGGAUGGGAGGGACAGAAGCCCUGCUCACCCUGCACUGGCACAGCGCCUUGCUAAGGAUGCUAAGUGCUCCCACCCUUCCUAUGCAGUCCCAUGUUGUGAAAUUCCAAAGUGCCGCAGACGUAGUUUCCUCCCAGCCUGAAUGCUCCAGCUGAAGUCUUCCCAGGGCAGGAUAAACAGCCGUGCUGCCUGCCUGCCUGGGCGUUAGGCCUGUGAGCUCAGGGCGCAGUGGAAGCUCCGCUGGCAGAGGCUGCAGCUGCAGGUCUUUUUGAUGAGGAAGUCUCCCCGAGUUUUGUACCGCUGCAGUUUCAUCUUGAUGGUUUUGUUUAAGCCGUACCCUGCUGCUUAGAAAAAGCGCCUACGGGCAGCAGCUUUCAGGUCUUUCCACACGUCCUCAACGGGAUUCCAGUCAGGCCUUUGACUGGGCCGCUAGCUAGAGGGGCAGGCAGAGCCUUCCUGGUGGUGAUGAUGAAGAGGAUGUGUGUAUAUCUGUAAGUCCAGCCCAGCCAGGGGAUCAGUCAGUCUUCCUCAUGGUUAAAGGAUGAGGGUGAUGAUGAGGAAGGUGAUGAUGAAGAGGAUGUCUGUAUUUCUGUAAGUCCAGCCCAGCCAGGGGAUCAGUCAGAGUCUUCCUCAUGGUUAGAGGAUGAGGGUGAUGAUGAGGAGGGUGAUGAUGAAGAGGAUGUGUGUAUAUCUGUAAGUCCAGCCCAGCCAGGGGACCGGUCAGAGUCUUCCUCAUGGUUAGAGGAUGAGGGUGAUGAUGAGGAGGGCGAUCCAGUUCACCUUCCUCAGCCUUUAGCCAUGAGUGUGUGGAGCAACCUGUGGAGCCGGAUGAGACCCCCAGACCAAUUCUGCACAGACAGACCGGACGACUCAGAUGGGCCACAUUAAAGACCUUCCGAUGUUCUUAUCUGGCAUCUGCUACAGAGCCGCCUCACCCGAGAGCUUCAGAGGAGCGCCCACACAACAGAGCAUGAGGGCCGUGUAUCCAGCAGGAGCCUGCAAACUGACCGAGACUGACCAGUCCACCUCUCAGGUGCUGCACUUCGCAUGCGAUGACCUGCACUAGGACAGGAUGUCUGCUUAAAUUUCUUUUUGGGAAUCUCCUGACCUUUUAAACUUGCUCUGCGCCUGGUGUCGACUCGGCCUUAGAAGCCGUUUCCCAGGAAUCUUCGUGGAAAUGAGCAGGUGAGAUUCGGGGACAAGCCACCGAGCUCCUCCGACUUUGGGCUCUCUGGCUCUGAUGGACUUCGGCGUGAUCGAUGCUGUUCUCAUCGCCAUCCCCACUCCUGCGGCACAAUGGCUCCUGCGUUUCCUGCACAGCCGGGGGAAGCAGUGAGCUCUGUUAAGUAUGUUCAGAGCCAGUCUGGACACUUAAUAUUUCAUGAGACAAAUGUGUACGGUGAAUCUUUGAUGAGGACUAAUUGGCCCAUAUGGUCAGGGAGUCUCCUUGCUGCAGACCUGCCUGGGGUCUCCUGGGACGCUGGCGUGAAGAACGGCGUUCUUGCCGGUUUUGCACAUGGUUUUACCAGGCUUCUGUUAUGCAUUGAGCUUCCUUUUGCAACACUGUGCCACCACUACAGUACAGUAUAUCUCCCUGUUUUUACCCUUGUGUGACUGUGCUUUACAGGUUUACGUUGCAUCCAGCAGAAUUCAGUUGUGGUUUGCUGUGCCACCACUCUGAUUUCACUGUGCUUUUACUCCAAUUCCACAAUGGUUUAUUGUGUUGUACCCUGCCUUUACUCUUCUUCAUUGCAUUUUACUGUGCAUUUACCCUGUUUUCCCUUUUUUUUACUUCACUUGACAGUGCUUUCACCCUGAUUUCACUGUGCUACACUGCACUGUCCUGUGUUUUUACCCUGAUUUCACUGUGCUUUACUGCACUGUCCUAUGUUUUUAUUCUGAUUUCACUGUGCUACACUGCACUGUCCUGUUUUUAUUCUGAUUUCACUGUGCUACACUGCACUGCCCUGUGCUUUUACCCUGAUUUCACUGUGCUUUACUGCACUGUCCUGUGGUUUAAUUCUGAUUUCACUGUGCUUUACUGCACCGCCCUGUGCUUUUACCCUGAUUCCACUGUGCUUUACUGCACUGUCCUGUGGUUUAAUUCUGAUUUCACUGUUCUUUACUACACUUGACUGUGCUUUUACUAUACUAUUCCACAGAAACUCUUUACAAGGGUCCCCAGUGACAAUAUCAGCUGACAGUACAGAAAGGCGCAGACACAUUGGGAGAGGCAGGAACAAGCUCUAGACAUGCAGCCCGGCCUGCAACAGCCCGGAGAUGAGCUUCAUCGCCCCAGCGGCCAGCCAAUCGUCAAGAUGAUGGGGGCUCAUAUUACCCUGGCGACCAGACUAGUUGUCAUGGCAAGGAGCCCUCAUCGCCCCCGGCGAACCAGCCCGUGAACAUUCCCCGCUGAUGACAUCAUGCUGCCAGCCGCUGUUGGAAAAGGAGUGCAGAGAUGGGAGCCGGGAGUCGGAUUUGAGAGGGUGAGUGGACCUGGGAGCCGUCUGGAAGGAAUUGGAGCAAGCUCCAUCGCCUGCCUCCACGUGGGAUUGAGCUCAGCCUUCCGGUCAGGAGCCAGACGCCCUGCUGCCUGAGCUACCACUUCUCUGGGAGGUCCUGGACUAAAAAUAAUCUUGCGUGCAGGGGCCUGUGAACUGAAGGGACCGAAUCUCUAACGCGAGAUAAGAGGUUAAAAAAGUAUACUAAGGCCCUUCCUUUCACAAAGGGUGGCAGGUGUCUGGAACUACACUGUACACCGCGCUGCUGAAUUGGAUUCCUUUGGAUGGCGCUAGAGAGGUGGCCAGAAGCAGAGAGACAGAAACGCCACACUGCGGUACUGGAGUCUCUUCAGAAGUGUGUUUUUUUUGCUACCUGCUGCCUCCAUUCUGCUGCUUAAUCAAGGAGCAGACACGAUGGCGCCCCCCCCCACAACUCAAACACACACUUCAGAGGAAUGCCAGCUGUGUCUCAUGUAAGCCCCCUGGAGCUGAGUGGGCUCCCCAGUGCUGGUGCUGGAGGGGUGGAGUGAAACCCAGGCAUGUAGGCAUAUGGAGAGAGACAGGUUAUUCCGUGAGCUCUCCAGAGGGAGGCACAGAGAGGAAACAUGGGAGCAACAGCCUCACCAACAGCCCCCAAAACUGGAGAAGAACCCAGGACAGUAAUCCAGUUACUACACUACAAUCCAGUAAUCUAGUGGACUACACUGACACAGCACCAGCAACGCCUGCAGUAUAGCAACAAUGACAAGGGCACCACAGACCGGAGCAGAAUCAGGGGCUUUAGACUGUCACUGUCCAUGUGGACUACACUGACACAGCACCAGCAACAAUGACAACAGCAACAGCAUCAACCACUGCAACCCAGACAGCAACAGUACCACCCCAGCAACGGCAGAGGUAAAGAGCCACAACAACGCAGCAUCAACAGCAGUAAAACCCUGAAAACAACAGCAGCGAUAUUAACGGCAGCAACAACCUCAGCCUCUAGCCCAGCGAUGUCUCUAGAGACGCUCCCCUGUCUGCUGGGCCCGCCAGCCUCGGUGUUCAAAACAGGAAAGCUGGUGUUUAAUAAUUUGUGCUCAGGGUAAAAAAUGGAUGGGUCACUGAUAUAAAGAAAUAAAUAUCAAAGUAAAUACAAGUUGAAGAUAAAGAGAACUAAGAUAAAUAAGUUAAAAGUAAGAAUAGAUAAAUCCACCUUGAUUUUUAAUCUAUAGAGAAAAUAUUAUGCAUAUGAUAGAACUCCCACUGCAUGUACCUGUUCAGUACAUUAGACAGACAGAGAUGGGGAGAGAGAUAGGCAGAGACAGACAAUAAAUCACUUUUUUGGUCCGUUAACAGAUUGUCAGAUAAAAUGUAUUUACAGCACAUUCAUUCUUUAAAAAAGCAAUAAAAAAGCUCCAUUAUGGAACAAACCAAAAACACAUUAAGCCUGCAGAGCUACUGCAAGGAUACUUCUCUUUUAUC